rnacentral:rRNA from 1 species
AACGAACGCUGGCGGCAGGCUUAACACAUGCAAGUCGAGCGCCCCGCAAGGGGAGCGGCAGACGGGUGAGUAACGCGUGGGAACGUACCCUUUGCUACGGAAUAGCUCCGGGAAACUGGAAUUAAUACCGUAUGUGCCCUACGGGGGAAAGAUUUAUCGGCAAAGGAUCGGCCCGCGUUGGAUUAGCUAGUUGGUGGGGUAAUAGCCCACCAAGGCGACGAUCCUUAGCUGGUCUGAGAGGAUGACCAGCCACACUGGGACUGAGACACGGCCCAGACUCCUACGGGAGGCAGCGGUGGGGAAUAUUGGACAAUGGGCGCAAGCCUGAUCCAGCCAUGCCGCGUGAGUGAUGACGGCCUUAGGGUUGUAAAGCUCUUUCACCCACGACGAUAAUGACGGUAGUGGGAGAAGAAGCCCCGGCUAACUUCGUGCCAGCAGCCGCCGUAACAC